GACGAACGCUGGCGGCGGGCUGAACACAUGCAAGUCGAACGGUGAAGCGCCUUCCUUUUUGGUGGGUGUGGAUGAGUGGCGAACGGGUGAGUAACACGUGAGUAACCUGCCCCCUUCUUCUGGAUAACCGCAUGAAAGUGUGGCUAAUACGGGAUAUUCUGGGUCUGUCGCAUGAUGGGUCUGGGAAAGAUAUUGUUUCGGUGGGGGAUGGGCUCGCGGCCUAUCAGCUUGUUGGUGGGGUGAUGGCCUACCAAGGCGGUGACGGGUAGCCGGCCUGAGAGGGUGGACGGUCCCACUGGGACUGCGACACGGCCAAGACUCCUACGGGAGGCAGCAGUGGGGAAUAUUGCACAAUGGGCGCAAGCCUGAUGCAGCGACGCCGCGUGAGGGAUGGAGGCCUUCGGGUUGUGAACCUCUUUCGCCAGUGAAGCAGGCCUGCCUCGUUUGUGGGUGGGUUGACGGUAGCUGGAUAAGAAGCGCCGGCUAACUACGUG
rnacentral:rRNA from 1 species